GUGCUGCAGCAAUUCACCAGAGGACGGAAGUGGCACAUCUGGGACUGAGAACUGGCAAGGCCAGAGGGCAGAAGCAAGUCACAAAAGCCAGUGGCCCAAACUCACAUCAUCCACCUCCAUUGCACUGAGCUAAAACCAUGCCCAGGAACUGGCAUCCCAAAUCUAAACAGUGAGGCUUGAGAAGCGGGCUGGAUUCCACGGUGGGCAAGUGUGCAGAGGACAUAAGCCGAGAAGAGGCCCUUGGAGAGGACAGAAAUAACAACAUCGUAGGCAGACAGUUGUGGGUUCUGCCAGUCACGCUUUCGCACAAGUCACAGCACUCAGCCUCAGUAAGCGGAGGAAAAUAACAGAAAACAAAGUUGGAAAGCAUGGCUGAGGAGAGGGAGAUAAACCGAGAUAAAUCGUGAAGAGUGGUUGAAAUAAGCUACCGACAGGCUUGACCCGCAGCAGGUGCCUGACUCUGCUGGUUCCCAGUCCAGCCCCAGCUCAGGUGCACAAGGCGUCCGGGGGACUGCCAGCACUGCACAGCCCUUUCCAUACCUCCUGGAUGGUGACCUUUACCUCCGUUCCACCGUGGCCACCCAUACCCUGGGCCUUGUCAUCUCUCGAAGGUUCCAACUGCAUUCUGAAAUCCCACUCCCUGACUGCAGCUUCCGAAGCUGCCAGGAAACUGCCAGCUUCCAGGCCAGCCACUCAACAGCCUCCAAGACUCACUUUCCUCAUCUAUAAAAUGGGGUUUCUAAUAUCUGCUUUGCCCAGCACACAGAGCUGCUGGGAGAAUCAAAUAUGAUUAUGUAUAUGAAGAUACUUCACGAAUGAUGACAUUCUAGUAAGCUAGCAAAUAGUUGUCCCAGCCAUACCCACUGCCAAAUGGGCCACUCAGGAGAUCCAAGGAGAUCACUCUGCCGCGAAUGCUAUUUUAUUCGUAUCAUUCAGGACCUUCAUGGUGGAGGCUUGUUGACAUCGGCUUGUGGUUGAGAGGAGCUCCGGAGUCAAGCCGUCUGUGUCCAGAUCCCUGCCUCAAAUGCUACCAGCCAUGUGAGCUGAGUGCAUUAUAUAACUUCAGCAUGACUCAGCGUCCACUUCUGAAAGAUGGGAUGGACGAUGGUGACAGGGUCAUCCCAUUGGGUCAUUGUGAGCAUCCAACGAGAGGGCAUAGGACAGUGGCUGGUAAGUGCUCAUAAACUGUUAGCCAGCCGGGCACGGUGGCUCAUGCCUGUAAUCCAAGCACUUUGGGAGGCCAAGGCGGGUGGAUCACCUGAGGUCAGGAGUUCGAGACCAGCCUGGCCAACAUGGUGAAACCUCGUCUCUACUAAAAAUACAAAAAUUAGCCGGUGUGGUGGUGGGCACCUGUAAUCCCAGCUACUUGGGAGGCUGAGGCAGGAGAAUCCCUUGAACCCAGGAGGCGGAGGUUGCAGUCAGCCAAUAUCACACCAUUGCACUCCAGCCUGGGUUACAGAGUGAGACGCCAUCUCAAAAAAAAGAAUAAAAAAACCUGUUAGCCAUUAUUAUGAUCACACUGUUCACAAGUUCACCCCACUACCAAAAAAUGGCCACAUUCCACCCACUCCCCACCAACCAAAGGCACAAGCACCUCUGUCAUCUGCUCUGUCAGGAUGGUCACACAUCUCGAUGGCCUGGACCAUGAGCCAAGGGUGGACGUUCAUCCAGAGUGGCCCUCGCUUUCCAACUUUGUUUUGUUAUUUUUGUGCUGUAUAAAAACCCCACUGCUGCAGACA